rnacentral:rRNA from 1 species
GUAGGGCGGGACACGUGGUAUCCUGUCUGAAUAUGGGGGGACCAUCCUCCAAGGCUAAAUACUCCUGACUGACCGAUAGUGAACCAGUACCGUGAGGGAAAGGCGAAAAGAACCCCGGCGAGGGGAGUGAAAAAGAACCUGAAACCGUGUACGUACAAGCAGUGGGAGCCUCUUUAUGGGGUGACUGCGUACCUUUUGUAUAAUGGGUCAGCGACUUAUAUUCUGUAGCAAGGUUAACCGAAUAGGGGAGCCGAAGGGAAACCGAGUCUUAACUGGGCGUUAAGUUGCAGGGUAUAGACCCGAAACCCGGUGAUCUAGCCAUGGGCAGGUUGAAGGUUGGGUAACACUAACUGGAGGACCGAACCGACUAAUGUUGAAAAAUUAGCGGAUGACUUGUGGCUGGGGGUGAAAGGCCAAUCAAACCGGGAGAUAGCUGGUUCUCCCCGAAAGCUAUUUAGGUAGCGCCUCGUGAAUUCAUCUCCGGGGGUAGAGCACUGUUUCGGCAAGGGGGUCAUCCCGACUUACCAACCCGAUGCAAACUGCGAAUACCGGAGAAUGUUAUCACGGGAGACACACGGCGGGUGCUAACGUCCGUCGUGAAGAGGGAAACAACCCAGACCGCCAGCUAAGGUCCCAAAGUCAUGGUUAAGUGGGAAACGAUGUGGGAAGGCCCAGACAGCCAGGAUGUUGGCUUAGAAGCAGCCAUCAUUUAAAGAAAGCGUAAUAGCUCACUGGUCGAGUCGGCCUGCGCGGAAGAUGUAACGGGGCUAAACCAUGCACCGAAGCUGCGGCAGCGACACUAUGUGUUGUUGGGUAGGGGAGCGUUCUGUAAGCCUGUGAAGGUGGCCUGUGAGGGUUGCUGGAGGUAUCAGAAGUGCGAAUGCUGACAUAAGUAACGAUAAAGCGGGUGAAAAGCCCGCUCGCCGGAAGACCAAGGGUUCCUGUCCAACGUUAAUCGGGGCAGGGUGAGUCGACCCCUAAGGCGAGGCCGAAAGGCGUAGUCGAUGGGAAACAGGUUAAUAUUCCUGUACUUGGUGUUACUGCGAAGGGGGGACGGAGAAGGCUAUGUUGGCCGGGCGACGGUUGUCCCGGUUUAAGCGUGUAGGCUGGUUUUCCAGGCAAAUCCGGAAAACCAAGGCUGAGGCGUGAUGACGAGGCACUACGGUGCUGAAGCGACAAAUGCCCUGCUUCCAGGAAAAGCCUCUAAGCAUCAGGUAACAUCAAAUCGUACCCCAAACCGACACAGGUGGUCAGGUAGAGAAUACCAAGGCGCUUGAGAGAACUCGGGUGAAGGAACUAGGCAAAAUGGUGCCGUAACUUCGGGAGAAGGCACGCUGAUAUGUAGGUGAAGCGACUUGCUCGUGGAGCUGAAAUCAGUCGAAGAUACCAGCUGGCUGCAACUGUUUAUUAAAAACACAGCACUGUGCAAACACGAAAGUGGACGUAUACGGUGUGACGCCUGCCCGGUGCCGGAAGGUUAAUUGAUGGGGUUAGCGGUAACGCGAAGCUCUUGAUCGAAGCCCCGGUAAACGGCGGCCGUAACUAUAACGGUCCUAAGGUAGCGAAAUUCCUUGUCGGGUAAGUUCCGACCUGCACGAAUGGCGUAAUGAUGGCCAGGCUGUCUCCACCCGAGACUCAGUGAAAUUGAACUCGCUGUGAAGAUGCAGUGUACCCGCGGCAAGACGGAAAGACCCCGUGAACCUUUACUAUAGCUUGACACUGAACAUUGAGCCUUGAUGUGUAGGAUAGGUGGGAGGCUUUGAAGUGUGGACGCCAGUCUGCAUGGAGCCGACCUUGAAAUACCACCCUUUAAUGUUUGAUGUUCUAACGUUGGCCCGUAAUCCGGGUUGCGGACAGUGUCUGGUGGGUAGUUUGACUGGGGCGGUCUCCUCCUAAAGAGUAACGGAGGAGCACGAAGGUUGGCUAAUCCUGGUCGGACAUCAGGAGGUUAGUGCAAUGGCAUAAGCCAGCUUGACUGCGAGCGUGACGGCGCGAGCAGGUGCGAAAGCAGGUCAUAGUGAUCCGGUGGUUCUGAAUGGAAGGGCCAUCGCUCAACGGAUAAAAGGUACUCCGGGGAUAACAGGCUGAUACCGCCCAAGAGUUCAUAUCGACGGCGGUGUUUGGCACCUCGAUGUCGGCUCAUCACAUCCUGGGGCUGAAGUAGGUCCCAAGGGUAUGGCUGUUCGCCAUUUAAAGUGGUACGCGAGCUGGGUUUAGAACGUCGUGAGACAGUUCGGUCCCUAUCUGCCGUGGGCGCUGGAGAACUGAGGGGGGCUGCUCCUAGUACGAGAGGACCGGAGUGGACGCAUCACUGGUGUUCGGGUUGUCAUGCCAAUGGCACUGCCCGGUAGCUAAAUGCGGAAGAGAUAAGUGCUGAAAGCAUCUAAGCACGAAACUUGCCCCGAGAUGAGUUCUCCCUGAGACUUAGAGUCUCCUGAAGGAACGUUGAAGACGACGACGUUGAUAGGCCGGGUGUGUAAGCGCAGCGAUGCGUUGAGCUAACCGGUACUAAUGAACCGUGAG